rnacentral:rRNA from 1 species
UAAGGAAUAUUGGUCAAUGGACGCAAGUCUGAACCAGCCAUGCCGCGUGGAGGAUGACGGUCCUCUGGAUUGUAAACUUCUUUUAUUUGGGAAGAAAACCUCUGAUUAUUCGGAGCUUGACGGUACCAGAUGAAUAAGCACCGGCUAACUCCGUGCCAGCAGCCGCGGUAAUACGGAGGGUGCAAGCGUUAUCCGGAUUCACUGGGUUUAAAGGGUGCGUAGGCGGAUAGGUAAGUCCGUGGUGAAAUCUCUCGACUUAAUCGGGAAACUGCCAUGGAUACUAUUUAUCUUGAAUGUUAUGGAGGUUAACGGAAUAUGUCAUGUAGCGGUGAAAUGCUUAGAUAUGACAUGGAACACCAAUUGCGAAGGCAGUUAACUACACAAAUAUUGACGCUGAUGCACGAAAGCGUGGGGAUCAAACA